GAUGAACGCUGGCGGCGUGCCUAAUACAUGCAAGUCGAGCGAACUGACGAGGAGCUUGCUCCUCUGACGUUAGCGGCGGACGGGUGAGUAACACGUGGAUAACCUACCUAUAAGACUGGGAUAACUUCGGGAAACCGGAGCUAAUGCCGGAUAAUAUAUUGAACCGCAUGGUUCAAUAGUGAAAGACGGUUUUGCUGUCACUUAUAGAUGGAUCCGCGCCGCAUUAGCUAGUUGGUAAGGUAACGGCUUACCAAGGCAACGAUGCGUAGCCGACCUGAGAGGGUGAUCGGCCACACUGGAACUGAGACACGGUCCAGACUCCUACGGGAGGCAGCAGUAGGGAAUCUUCCGCAAUGGGCGAAAGCUUGACGGAGCAACGCCGCGUGAGUGAUGAAGGUCUUCGGAUCGUAAAACUCUGUUAUUAGGGAAGAACAAAUGUGUAAGUAACUAUGCACGUCUUGACGGUACCUAAUCAGAAAGCCACGGCUAACUACGUG
rnacentral:rRNA from 1 species